CUUCGACGCCGCGUGUGGGAUGAGGCUGGGUUGUAACAUGUCAGAGGGGAUGAAGUGCGGAACAUCUCUUCCGUUUGACAUACCUCAGAGGAAGCACGGGCUAAGUUCGUGCCAGCAGCCGCGGUAAUACGAACUGUGCAAACGUUAUUCGGAAUCACUGGGCUUACAGGGUGCGUAGGCGGCUUGUAAGCAGGUGUGAAAUCCCUCGGCUCAACCGAGGAAUUGCGCCCUGAACUGGCGAGCUUGAGUGGGACAGAGGUGCGUGGAACUUCCAGUGGAGCGGUGAAAUGUGUCGAUAUUGGAAGGAACACCAGAGGCGAAAGCGGCGCACUGGGUCCUAACUGACGCUGAGGCACGAAAGCCAGGGGAGCAAACGGGAUUAGAUACCCCGGUAGUCCUGGCUGUAAACGAUGAGCACUAGCUGGCAGCGGCGGAUGCCGUAGCCAACGUAGCGAAAGUGUAAACGUGCUCCGCCUGCGGAGUAUGGUCGCAAGGCUGAAACUCAAAGGAAUCGACGGGGGCUCACACAACCGGUGGAGCAUG
rnacentral:rRNA from 1 species